AGGGGAGUAACCAAGCGGUUAAGGUGCCGGAUUUUGAUUCCGGUAAUCAUAGGUUCAAAUCCUAUCUUCCUUU
rnacentral:tRNA from 1 species